UGGGGAAUAUUGGACAAUGGGCGAAAGCCUGAUCCAGCCAUGCCGCGUGUGUGAAGAAGGUCUUCGGAUUGUAAAGCACUUUAAGUUGGGAGGAAGGGCAGUAAGCGAAUACCUUGCUGUUUUGACGUUACCGACAGAAUAAGCACCGGCUAACUCUGUGCCAGCAGCCGCGGUAAUACAGAGGGUGCAAGCGUUAAUCGGAAUUACUGGGCGUAAAGCGCGCGUAGGUGGUUCGUUAAGUUGAAUGUGAAAGCCCCGGGCUCAACCUGGGAACUGCAUCCAAAACUGGCGAGCUAGAGUAGGGCAGAGGGUGGUGGAAUUUCCUGUGUAGCGGUGAAAUGCGUAGAUAUAGGAAGGAACACCAGUGGCGAAGGCGACCACCUGGGCUCAUACUGACACUGAGGUGCGAAAGCGUGGGGAACAAACAGG
rnacentral:rRNA from 1 species